CAUCCUUAUGGUGCUAUAUGAUCUACAGGGGAAACAUCCUUAUGGUGCUAUAUGAUCUACAGGGGAAACAUCCUUAUGGUGCGAUAUGAUCUACAGGGGAAACAUCCUUAUGGUGCGAUAUUAUCUACAGGGGAAACAUCCUUAUGGUGCGAUAUGAUCUACAGGGGAAACAUCCUUAUGGUGCGAUAUGAUCUACAGGGGAAACAUCCUUAUGGUGCGAUAUGAUCUACAGGGGAAACAUCCUUAUGGUGCUACAGGAUCUACAGGGGAAACAUCCUUAUGGUGCUACAGGAGGUACAGGAUCUACAGGGGAAACAUCCUUAUGGUGCUAUAUGAUCUACACGGGAAACAUCCUUAUGGUGCUAUAUGAUCUACAGGGGAAACAUCCUGGAAGUGAGAAUUUAAAGAGGAGUCUCAUGAUAAUAUGUACGUACCAAUGGUUUUUGAGAAAAGACUUGAUGCCUUUACAACUAUGAUUGAAAGAAAGAAUAUAUUUUACAGAAAACUGUUUCUUCUGUUAUUGUUGGGAUGUAUUAAGUUACUGGCUUCUGUUCAAGCUUUUAAUAAUGUAUUUUGGAGCUUCAUCAAGCCAGGUUUCAGGGUUUCCUCUACAGCUUCAUCAAGCCAGGUUUCAGGGUUUCCUCUACAGCUUCAUCAAGCCAGGUUUUGGGGUAUCCUCUACAGCUUCAUCAAGCCAGGUUUUGGGGUAUCCUCUACAGCUUCAUCAAGCCAGGUUUUGGGGUAUCCUUUA
rnacentral:lncRNA from 1 species